rnacentral:rRNA from 1 species
AGGACGAACGCUGGCGGCGUGCUUAACACAUGCAAGUCGAACGGUGAACCCCGCUUGCGGGGGGAUCAGUGGCGAACGGGUGAGUAACACGUGGGCAACCUGCCCUCAGCUCUGGGAUAACUCCAAGAAAUUGGGGCUAAUACUGGAUACGACCGCUGACCGCAUGGUCUGGUGGUGGAAAGAUUUAUCGGCUGGGGGAUGGGCCCGCGGCCUAUCAGCUUGUUGGUGGGGUAGUGGCCUACCAAGGCGACGGCGGGUAGCCGGCCUGAGAGGGUGACCGGGCCACACUGGGACUGAGACACGGCCCAGACUCCUACGGGAGGCAGCAGUGGGGAAUAUUGCGCAAUGGGCGAAAGCCUGACGCAGCGACGCCGCGUGGGAUGACGGCCUUCGGGUUGUAAACCUCUUUCAGCAGGACGAAGCGAAGUGACGGUACCUGCAGAAGAGCACCGGCAACUACGUGCCAGCAGCCGC